GGGCGCAGCUCAGGGGCAGAGCGCGUGCUUAGCAAGCACAAGGUUCUGGGUUCAAGCCCCAGUGCCUCCA
rnacentral:tRNA from 1 species